rnacentral:pre_miRNA from 13 species
GCUGUGGCAGACAGGCUGGGUGGGGGCCUUCGUCUUACCCUGCAGUGUUUGGGUGCUGGUUUGGUCUCUAAUACUGCCGGGUAAUGAUGGAGGCCCCUGGCCCUGUGGCACUGUCACCUCA